rnacentral:rRNA from 1 species
UGGGGAAUUUUGGACAAUGGGGGGAAACCCUGAUCCAGCCAUCCCGCGUGUGCGAUGAAGGCCUUCGGGUUGUAAAGCACUUUUGGCAGGAAAGAAACGUCGCGGGUUAAUACCCCGCGGAACUGACGGUACCUGCAGAAUAAGCACCGGCUAACUACGUGCCAGCAGCCGCGGUAAUACGUAGGGUGCAAGCGUUAAUCGGAAUUACUGGGCGUAAAGCGUGCGCAGGCGGUUCGGAAAGAAAGAUGUGAAAUCCCAGAGCUUAACUUUGGAACUGCAUUUUUAACUACCGGGCUAGAGUGUGUCAGAGGGAGGUGGAAUUCCGCGUGUAGCAGUGAAAUGCGUAGAUAUGCGGAGGAACACCGAUGGCGAAGGCAGCCUCCUGGGAUAACACUGACGCUCAUGCACGAAAGCGUGGGGAGCAAACAGGAUUAGAUACCCUGGUAGUCCACGCCCUAAACGAUGUCAACUAGCUGUUGGGGUCUUCGGACCUUGGUAGCGCAGCUAACGCGUGAAGUUGACCGCCUGGGGAGUACGGUCGCAAGAUUAAAACUCAAAUGAAUUGAC